rnacentral:rRNA from 1 species
GAUGAACGCUGGCGGCGUGCCUAAUACAUGCAAGUCGAGCGAACAGACGAGGAGCUUGCUCCUCUGACGUUAGCGGCGGACGGGUGAGUAACACGUGGAUAACCUACCUAUAAGACUGGGAUAACUUCGGGAAACCGGAGCUAAUACCGGAUAAUAUAUUGAACCGCAUGGUUCAAUAGUGAAAGACGGUUUUGCUGUCAAUUAUGGAUGGAUCCGCGCCGCAUUAGCUAGUUGGUAAGGUAACGGCUUACCAAGGCAACGAUGCGUAGCCGACCUGAGAGGGUGAUCGGCCACACUGGAACUGAGACACGGUCCAGACUCCUACGGGAGGCAGCAGUAGGUAAUCUUCCGCAAUGGGCGAAAGCCUGACGGAGCAACGCCGCGUGAGUGAUGAAGGUCUUCGGAUCGUAAAACUCUGUUAUUAGGGAAGAACAAAUGUGUAAGUAACUAUGCACGUCUUGACGGUACCUAAUCAGAAAGCCACGGCUAACUACGU